rfam:Triticum aestivum genome assembly, contig: Triticum_aestivum_CS42_TGACv1_scaffold_437505_5DL
UUUCUACUCCCUUCGUCCGGAAAUACUUAUCGAAGAAAUGAAUGAAUCUAGACAUAUUUUAGUUCUAGAUACAUCCAUUUUUACCAAUUUCUCCAACAAGUUUUUUCAAACGGAGGGAGUAUAAU